rnacentral:misc_RNA from 1 species
AGAUUUCAGGAGUGAAGUAAGCUAUAUCUUAUAGUGAGAUGAGGUGCUGAUUUUUUAGUUGCUCUUUGUGUAUGAUCAUGAAGAAGUAGAAAUAAUUUCUGGGUUUGCUAAUUCAAAAAAUCAGGAUUUCAUUUAUAAGCAAAUGAUUACUUUCUGAAAUUGAUUGAUAAUUCAGUGAGAUAUUUUGUAUGAUCAUGGAGAAGCAGAGCAGUUUUAAGGGACGAACAAUGGAGAAACAGCAAAGUUUUAAACAGAAAGUGAUGGAAAAACUCCCUAGUUUUCGAGGCGGAACGGAAAACCAGUCCACUUCCCGUGGAGUAAUGGAAAAGCACCCCAGUUUUCGUGGAGCACUCGAGAAACAGAAGAGUUUUCGUGGGUUUAUGGAAAACCAGAAGAGCAUUCGUGCUGUGAUGGAGAGGCAGCUCAGUUUUAUUGGCGGUGG